GUCAAGGUGCCGGAGUGGUUAACGGGUUCGCCUGCUAUGUAUCCUUCUGUCUACUUGAGAGCAAGGAAUACCCAGUUAAGCGGAUGUCUUCGGACGCGCAGGUUCGAAUCCUGUCCUUGACG